UUGCGUCAAUUGCCUUUACGUUCAUGGUACUGUACUGUACUGUAGGCUAGUUAGAACUAGAGCGAGCUAGCAUCAGUUUCAAACACAGCAGCAUCGUCGUUGAGGAACAGUUGUACUGUACUGUAUGAUGGAGUUGUGCCAAGUCUGGCAUUGCUACUGAUGUUGAUGUGAGCUGAAAAGGAGGCCCAGUGCCUUGGAGGUGGAUGUCAGACCACUGGACGAAGGAGCGCUGGAUGGGAGACCACUAGUUGAAGGAGCGCUGGAUGG